UUAGAUAUAAGCCAAUGCAUGCUUUUACAGUAUGGAAAUUGGUGAUUUAUAAUAACUUGGCAAAUCGCAAAGUGAAAACAGGCGAUAAAUCAUUCAAGUUUCUGACCUAUCAGCUUUCGACGGUAUGGUAUUGGCUUACCGUGGCAGUGACGGUUAACGGGGGAUUAGGGUUCGAUUCCGGAGAGGGAGCCUGAGAAACGGCUACCACAUCUAAGGAAGGCAGCAGGCGCGCAAAUUACCCAAUUCUAACAGUUUGAGAGAGGUAGUAACAAGAAAUAACAAUACAAGGCAAUUAAAAUGCUUUGUAAUUGGAAUGAUAGAAAUUUAAACCCUUUUUAAAGUAUCAAUUGGAGGGCAAGUCUGGUGCCAGCAGCCGCGGUAAUUCCAGCUCCAAUAGCGUAUAUUAAAAUUGUUGCAGUUAAAAAGCUCGUAGUUGAAGUUCUGCUAAAAGUAACCGGUCUGCUUUUAAUAAAAGUGGUAUCUUGGUGUGUAUUUAGCAAUGAUGUCCUUUGAAGUGUUUUUUACUUUAUUGUAAUAAAGCAUAUUCAGGACUUUUACUUUGAGAAAAUUAGAGUGUUUCUAGCAGGCCGACGCUUUGAAUACUGCAGCUG
rnacentral:rRNA from 1 species